GUCACUUCCGGUCUAUUGAAAAUGGCAUUUUACUCUUAAGUGCUUGCAGGGUUUCCCAAGGUAACAAUUACUUCAAUAAGUAAGCUGGAGACACAUUUGGAGAAGGGUUUUAAGAUGUACGCCUCGUCAUACAUUCACGGAUACGAAGCAGUGUGUGCACUUUUGGGGCCAUGAGGACGGAUUUUUGAAAGAUGCAGCAUAAUUAAGAAACUGGAUUCGGGUUCUACUGAGCAUCUAUGGCUUGCUGAAAACUCUGGAGAGUGCCGAGUGUCGGUGUACAUGUGUGACUCACCUGCAUGGCCAGACAGAUGGUGUUGAGGAGG